AUUGAACGCUGGCGGCGGGCCUAACACAUGCAAGUCGAACGGUAACAGGAAGAAGCUUGCUUCUUUGCUGACGAGUGGCGGACGGGUGAGUAAUGUCUGGGAAACUGCCUGAUGGAGGGGGAUAACUACUGGAAACGGUAGCUAAUACCGCAUAACGUCGCAAGACCAAAGAGGGGGACCUUCGGGCCUCUUGCCAUCGGAUGUGCCCAGAUGGGAUUAGCUAGUAGGUGGGGUAACGGCUCACCUAGGCGACGAUCCCUAGCUGGUCUGAGAGGAUGACCAGCCACACUGGAACUGAGACACGGUCCAGACUCCUACGGGAGGCAGCAGUGGGGAAUAUUGCACAAUGGGCGCAAGCCUGAUGCAGCCAUGCCGCGUGUAUGAAGAAGGCCUUCGGGUUGUAAAGUACUUUCAGCGGGGAGGAAGGGAGUAAAGUUAAUACCUUUACUCAUUGACGUUACCCGCAGAAGAAGCACCGGCUAACUCCGUG
rnacentral:rRNA from 1 species